UACGUAGGGUGCAAGCGUUAAUCGGAAUUACUGGGCGUAAAGCGUGCGCAGGCGGCGCGUUAAGACAGGUGUGAAAGCCCCGAGCUUAACUUGGGAAUUGCGCUUGUGACUGGCGUGCUGGAGUGUGGCAGAGGGAGGUGGAAUUCCGCGUGUAGCAGUGAAAUGCGUAGAGAUGCGGAGGAACACCGAUGGCGAAGGCAGCCCCCCGGGCUAAGACUGACGCUGAGGCACGAAAGCGUGGGGAGCAAACAGG
rnacentral:rRNA from 1 species